rnacentral:rRNA from 1 species
GACGAACGCUGGCGGCGUGCUUAACACAUGCAAGUCGAACGGAAAGGCCCUGCUUUUGUGGGGUGCUCGAGUGGCGAAAGGGUGAGUAACACGUGAGUAACCUGCCCUUGAAUUUGGGAUAAAUUCAGGAAACUGGGGCUAAUACCGGAUAGGAGCUCCUGCUGCAUGGUGGGGGUUGGAAAGUUUCGGCGGUUGGGGAUGGACUCGCGGCUUAUCAGCUUGUUGGUGGGGUAGUGGCUUACCAAGGCUUUGACGGGUAGCCGGCCUGAGAGGGUGACCGGCCACAUUGGGACUGAGAUACGGCCCAGACUCCUACGGGAGGCAGCAGUGGGGAAUAUUGCACAAUGGGCGGAAGCCUGAUGCAGCAACGCCGCGUGCGGGAUGACGGCCUUCGGGUUGUAAACCUCUUUCGCCUGUGACGAAGCGUGAGUGACGGUAAUGGGUAAAGAAGCACCGGCUAACUACGUG